UCCCCCCCCCCCCCCCCCCGACCCCCGUGGUCCGGCUGUGGCCGAGCCUACCGCGCCCGGUGCGGCGGGGGCGGGGCGGGGCGACAGACUGGGGGGACGAAGGGGCCGCCGGCCCAGGCCCCGGGCGCGGCGUCUGCCCGGCACCCCGGGGCGGGGGCGGUGAGGCUGGCCGGCCGUUACCGGGGCCGGCAGCGGUGCGGGGAGGGGGGCGAGCGACCGUCUCCUUCCCUGACACGCUGUGAGGCGCCCGGCGGGUGACUGCUGGGCGGCCCCUGGGGUUUCCUCAGCCCCUGCCCGCCUGUGACUCGCCCGGGGGGAGCGUGCGGCCUCCAGGGAAGGGGUGUGGGCGCUAGAGCGGCCCGCGCCCCUCUCCCGUGGCGGUAGGCCCCGGGAGCGGCGGCCCGGCCGGCUUCUGGUCCCCACCUGCCGCCGGGUGCCUGCGCCCACGGGCCCUGCUGGGCUUUGCACGGCCAAAAGUUAAAAAUGUGUGAUGAUGUCCCAGAUAAUUGGCGUAUUGGGGACAAAUGCCUUGCCCCUCUUCUUGAAGAUGGGAAACUUCAUGAAGGAACAAUAUCCUCUAUUGAAAAGGACAAGAAUGGAAAAUCAUUUGCUGUUGUAUCAUUCUUGGAGUCUGAAGAAAAGAAAAUACUAAUAACUAAACUUUGUAAAGUCAAAGCCAGUAGAGGACCUUGGAAAAGCUUAGUAUUUGAUGAUGGUGAUCUGGAAAAGCCUUAUUUUCCUGACCGAAAUCUUCCGACGCCUGCAGUUGCUUUUAAAUUAUCUGACAACGGUGAUUUUAUCCCAUAUACAAUUAACAGAUACCUGCGUGAUUAUCAAAGGGAAGGAGCCCUAUUUCUGUAUGGACACUAUGCUAAUAAAAGGGGGUGUAUUCUUGGAGAUGAUAUGGGCCUUGGAAAGACAAUACAGGUAAUUUCAUUUCUGGCUGCAGUGUUGCACAAAAAGGGAACACGGGAGGAUAUUGAAAAUAAUAUGCCAGAAUUUUUACGGAGGACAAUGAAAAAAGAAUCAAAGUGUAACCCCAAGAAGACUUUCCUCAUAGUGGCCCCUCUUUCAGUGCUGUACAACUGGAAGGAUGAGUUAGACACAUGGGGGUACUUCAAGGUCUCUGUCUUACAUGGCAGUAAAAAAGAUGAUGACUUGAGUCGUAUCAAGCAAGGGAAAUGUGAAGUUGCCCUUACAACGUAUGAGAUACUUCGCCUGUAUUUGGAUGAAUUUAACAGUAUAGAAUGGUCUGCUGUGAUAGUGGAUGAAGCACAUAGAAUCAAGAAUCCAAAGGCUCAAAUAACUCAAACCAUGAAGUCAUUAAAAUGCAGUGUUCGCAUAGGUCUUACUGGAACCAUUCUUCAAAACAAUAUGAAGGAACUUUGGUGUGUUAUGGACUGGGCCGUACCAGGACUUCUGGGUAGCAGAGUACAUUUCAAGAAGAAAUUUUCUGAUCCAGUGGAGCAUGGCCAGAGGCACACUGCAACUAAAAGAGAGCUAGCAACAGGUCGUAAGGCCAUGAUGAAGCUAGCAAGAAAAAUGUCUGGCUGGUUUCUGAGACGUACAAAAGCGCUUAUCAGUGAUCAGUUGCCAAAAAAGGAAGACAGAACGGUGUACUGUUCCCUGACUGAGUUCCAGAAAGCAGUGUACCAGGCUGUGCUACAGACAGAGGAUGUAAACUUAGUACUACGAGCAGGAGAGCCUUGUAGCUGCAACAGUGGCCGUAAAAGGAAGAACUGUUGUUACAAAGUAAAUGCUCAUGGUGAAACAAUUAAGUCACUGUGCUUCAGUUACCUGACAAUCCUACAGAAGGUUGCAAAUCAUGCUGCACUGCUGCAGACGGACAACACUAGCAAGCAGCAGGAAGCACAUAUCAAACGGGUGUGCAGCCAGGUAUUUUCCAGUUUUCCAGAUUUUGUGCAGUUAAGCAAAGAUGCAGCCUUUGAAACAAUUUCAGAUCCGAAGUACAGUGGAAAAAUGAAGGUCCUUCAGCAGCUUUUAAAUCACUUCCAAAAAACCAAGGAUAAGGUUCUUCUUUUCUCCUUUUCCACAAAGUUGCUAGAUGUGCUGGAACAGUACUGUAUGGCAUCUGGGCUAGAUUACCGAAGACUUGAUGGAAGUACAAAAUCAGAAGAUAGAAUCAGAAUUGUAAGAGAGUUCAACAGCAUUCAAGAAAUUAACAUAUGUCUUGUAUCUACAAUGGCUGGUGGACUGGGUCUUAAUUUUGUUGGUGCCAAUGUUGUUAUACUGUUUGAUCCUACAUGGAACCCAGCAAAUGAUCUUCAAGCUAUUGACAGAGCUUAUAGGAUUGGCCAAUACAAAGCUGUUAAAGUGUUUAGAUUGAUAUCCUUGGGAACUGUGGAGGAGAUGAUGUACUUGCGACAAGUUUAUAAGCAGCAACUUCACUGUGCGGUGGUUGGAAGUGAAAAUGCUAAGCGGUAUUUCGAGGCAGUGCAAGGAUCAAAGGAACAUCAAGGAGAGCUUUUUGGGAUCCAUAACCUUUUCAGACUCAGGACACAUGGGUCCUGUCUUACCAAAGACAUCCUGGAGAGGGAAGGGCGAGUAGAAGCAGGAGUCAUGACAGCAACUACAUGGCUAAAGGAAGAGACUCCUCCAUGCAGCUCAGAAAAGUAUGAACAACCAGACUCUAAAGAAGAUAGAGAUCCCCAAAGCAUUCAGGCACAAUUAAAGAGAGAAGAAAUGGAUUUUUGUGAUGACUGUAGUGAUGAUGAUAUUCUGGAAACUUCCGUGAAAAAAUGUGACAGAAGGAAGCCUUGCAAUGCAAAUAAUUUAAUGGUAACAAAGGGACAGCUUUCCUUAAUGCAGUGUGGAUUCUCUAAGUUGUUGCAGAGAGAAAUUGAAACUACCGAAGGGGAUAAUGAUUAUACCUCUCAUCGUUCAGGUUCUGAUGAUCAGUCUAUAAGAACAAAUGUAAAUAGCAAGCACAGUGAUUUUCACAAAUGUCAAAACCAUGUGCCUGUUUUGGAGCAUGGGAAAGCUGCUCAGUCACCAGAUGGAAUUGAUAAACAAGAUACGUGUAGUACAGACUGGCUUGCUUUAUCAGGCUCUGAGGAGGAAGGUGACAGAGAAGGUGAGGAUCAAGGCAUUUCAAAGCAAAGUGAUAUAAUCAUGGAAACUGAAAACAGUUCUGAAGAGGAUGAUGAUGUCAUCUUUCCUACCCAAGUUCCAGCAGGCCAGCAACCAAUGCUUACUAAAAAAGUUGAAAUAUACAGAUCAACAUCUGAAAAUUGUGAAGAGUUAGCAAAGGAAAAAGAUGGGUUUGUAUUUAAGGGAGACAGUAGGCAAUUUGGAUGCCAUAGUACUGAGUCAAAUUUCAGCAAAAUCAUGUCUUCUGAAGACAUCAAGAACAGCACAAGAGAUUUGAAAGAUGAAAGUGACAUAAGUGAUGAGUCUGAUGAUAUUGAAAUUUGCCAUAAUUCUGAAUCAGGAAAGUUACGAACUUUCAGCGUUCCAAAAUGGAAAAAAAGACGUGCCCAUAGCAAUGGACUAGGUAACAUCUCCAAAUCUCUGCUAGAAGCAAAGCAGCACAAUAGAAAAGGAAAGGAAAGUGAUUCUCAGAAUAUAGAUGAAUUUUCAUCGUCUGAAGAUAACCUACCAGUUAAGAAAGUUCAUGCCAGAAAGCAAAGCUAUAAGUGUAAAAUCCAGAAAGGCAGAGUUCAGUUUGGGUCUAAAAUGCUUCAUCCUAUUCAAGAUACCUCUGUUACACAAACGAAGUCUAGCAAUUAUGCUGUGCAAAGAACUUCUGCAAGUAAACCUGAAUUUGAACAUGAAGUGGAAUCAAUGGACAGAUAUUUAGAUGGUGUUCAAGAAGUGGCAUAUAUUCAUUCAAAUCAGAAUGUGGUUGGAUCCAGCAAGGCUGAGAAUCGCUUGAGCCGGUGGGCAGUACGAGAUGUAUUUAAGUUGAAGCAGUUUUCCCAGCUCCCUGCUAAUGUAGCAGUCUGUAGUGCCAAGGUGCUGGAUGACAACUGAAGAGAUGAAAUUGCAGUGAAGCCACUUAAACAUUUAUCAAAGAAAUGGACCUGCUAAUUAAAAGGAUAAUAUUUCCUGGCACCAGGACAAAACACACAAAGCUGAAUCUCAAGGCCUUCCUCAAGCAAACUUCUGUGGGAAUGUGGCUGUGUGAGGGCUGCAGGAACAAGCCUUAAGAAUGAUUGUUCCUGUGAAUCGUGGGUCUUUUAUGCUCCAAGCAACAUCAGGGUCUUAGGAAGAUGCUGAAUCAAAAGUUUUUGAAAGAGGUAACCAGGUACUCAUAUACAACUAAGGGGGAAAUUUUAUUUUAUUUUAUUGAUAGUAAUGCUUCUGUAACUUUUUAAUAUCUUUUUUAUAGAUUCAUAGAGUUUAAAGCCAGAAGGGACCAUUAGCUUCUUUCACAACCAUUGAAUUUCAUUUGCUAUUAGUGCAUUAAGCGUACUUACAGUACAGGAACUUUAAACAGCUUUCACUGUGCUUUAUACUUUCAAGACUGGCCAGAGCAACAUAUGAAUAAAUAGCCUUCAGAUGUUCAUUAUAAUUAGCAAAUCUUAGUAUCCAAAAGCCAGCAAUUUUUUCCAUAUUAUUUUGCUGUAUCAAGAACACAAGAUUUGAGGGGAGCGAUUCCAUCAUCCAUUCUUACUCAUACAAUGGCAAAACCAAGAAAACUGAUUUCCAUAAACCAGUUAAUUUUAUGUUUUUUUCCCUGGAAACAAGAAUACAGGGAUCCAUAUUUUCCAGACUCCAUCCCACUACCUUGCUUAGGUUUGAAAUUGCUGAAUAGGAUUUCCAAUGGGAACUCCAAUAUGGAGUUCAUCUUUCAUGACUGGACUCUUUUUCCUCAGGGAGAUUUUAGAAAUUCUUUAAGAAAGGGAAGAAACUCAUUGGAAUAAUAGGAGAAAACUGCUACUUUCAGUUUUCGUGGGACACUCUUUAUGGCAACGAUCUGAGUGGGCCUAUUCAGCACACUGAAUGCGGUAGCACAACGGACAGGACCCUUUAAUGAAAGACUUUGUUAUCUUUUUCUUUUUAGCCUUCAUUGUUGAGGAAACUGGAAGGUAUAUACUGAAUGAAGCAGAGCUCACUGGUGAAAUGCUGCCACUGACAACUGAAUUCUCUCUCUAAUACAUUUAAUGUGCAGCAUAUCACCGAGAAUUUAGCAGGUAAUUGCUCACUGUUUGCAGGGGUCUCACUUGCAGAACUGCAGAGCACUCACAAGAGCCAUGGAAGUCAAUGGAAGUGGUGUCUGGAAAACGAAAAGUGCCUGCUAGUGCCAAAAAGUCUGGAAAAAAAAAAAAAAAUCCUAAGAGCCUUAAUUUAGGCACCCAAAAGAGGUGGGCCCCUUGGACAUUAAUCUGUUUGUGCUUCAAUUCCCAUCUUUUAUUCUAGUUCCUCAUUUCAUAGGCUUGUUAUAAAUGCAGUCUGUGAAACACUCAAGUAUUAUAACAAGAAGGAAAACAGAGAGACCUGCAAGCAACGUAACACUUCAGUCUUCAAAGUUGUGUCUGAAUUAUGCAGAAGGCACAUGCAGAACAUUGGGGAUGGGACACGCUGAUAACUAGCAGCCCAGUCUGUAAGCCCUCACCAUACCCUGAGGCACACACGCAAGUGAACUCAAGGAAGAUUUUAUGGGCGGGGGAAGUUCUGGUGUUCUUAAUUUUAAAGAAUUGAAUCUGCAACUUCAUUGUGUAUUUUUAGUUCUACAUGUGUGCACCAACACAUGCAAAAUACUGCUGUCCCUAAUAGCUUUGCUUUUCAGGACCUUUAUAGUCCUAACCCUAAUUGGAGGUUCCUAAAAUAUUCCUUAUAUUCCUAGGCUUCUCUUUCACUAGAAAGCUGCUUGUGGGUUUUCUACAUCAUGUAAUCUCUCUGAAUCAGAGAAAUAAGACACACAAUUGUUCACAGACACACCCACUCUCCCUCCCUCCAGAAUCACAAGGAAAAUCAAAAGCUUUGCAUUCUGUAGGAUUGCCCUGUCUUACCUACUUUGGUUCUCAGUUCUGUAAGUGGUCAUUUACUUAUCCGGUUGACAAUUAUUUAGCAUCUGCUUUGUUCCUACCUCGCUACUCCCUGCCCUGUCCUUCUUUGUGAGGAUGUCCUGUCUGUUAUUUGAAUGAAAGGAUUUCCCUGAUAAUAUUAACAUUCACAAAAAUUGCCUCAUACUAUGCACAAGGUUGUACAUUCUUUUCCUAAUACAGUAUGAGUUGCUUUCUCAUCUUUUCUUGUAAGUGGUACUUAAACUGGCAGUAUGUCUCACUUUAGGUCUAUCAAAUACCACAGAGCUUUCUCUUCUACUAGUAAAGGAAACCUCAUAAAUUUUUAAUGGCUAUCAUUCAGUAUAUUCCUUACUUCAAAGGCACUUCUGUGAUCUUACUGGUGUUUCCCUUCUUGAAGAUAUAUUCAUCAAAAUUGUCAUUACAUAUAAUCAUCACUGGAAAAGCAAAAGGUUGACUAGAUACAGUAUAAGUUUACAAAACUGUAGGGACAUGGCUGAAAGAUCACGCUUACGGAUGUAAGCUUCAGGCUGUAAGAUCCCCUUCCAAUGCCUAUCCAUAUAACAAAGGAAUUUUGUAGUACACUGCUCUCACAGCCCAAAUCUGUAGGACAUUUCUCAUUCAUCACACAGAAAAUUGAUUAUUUUGUAAUGAAGCCAACAAAUCUCUAGAUUUGACAUGCUAUGCUUCUUUUUGUUCCUGUUCUGUAGUUCAUAGAGACCAAAUAUGGUGUCCUUGGGUGAAACAGGAGACCAGGGGACUGCUGGGUUCUUCAGGAUUUGCAACUUCCAGAUGUUUUUACACAACUGUUCAAAAUUGAGAUGUUAGGUGUAUGGCUUUCAUUUUGUUUUUCUACAGUACGCUCUUUUGCUCCUUUGUCCCCCCUUCCUUUGUGUGGUAUUUGAGAUGGUUUAAGGUAAGAGCAUAUAAUGUCUAUCUAUUUUUAUUGUGGCUCUGGAUCCAAUCAGUGCUGCUAGUGGUUGAGUGAACUUCUCUGUCUAGUAGCUUUUUACAAGCUUCUUUACGCUGUCUUAGUAGUUGUGUCUUUCUUUGGCAAAAAUAUUUGACACUGCUGGAUUGAAUGAAACAGAAAUUUUCAAAUUAAUUUCUGAACUCUGCUAAUGAAAAGAAGUAAUGUGAAAAAAUAAAUCACUAGUUUGGAAAGA